UCCUUUAAGGAAUCAAACCUGACUUAUGAAGCCAAGAAAGCUCUUGGGAAAUUGGCCUCACGUUUUGUGUACACAGUCCCUGUACAGGGUUUCUGAUCUGUGGAUCAUGGCCAUUUCACAGACAACUACCCAAAAACAUCUACAGACGACAUUACUCCUACAGUCAAUCUGAGACCAGAAAACUCUCUGUCCUCCCAUCAGCAGGAAGUAGCUAGAAAGAACAUGCCACCUCUCUUCCUUUUUAUAACUAUAGGGUCUGGAUUGACAGAGCAGGAGCAUCACCAUCUUGGACAAGCACCACCAUUUUUAAGUUCACCUUGAUCAAAAGCCGCCUAAAUCCAAAGGGCAUCAGCCUAAUGGCUAAGGUCAGCAUGACCAUAAACCACAAAUGACAUCUCCGACCAGAAACAUUCCAACCAUAAGAUAAAUCCCUCCCCGACCAGAGACAUGCCAGCCCUGAGAUAACCUCUCCUCCGACCAGAGACACUCCAACCCGCAAUAAAUUUCUCCCCCACACACAGAAACAUUCCAAGCCUGUGAUAAGCUUUCUCACCCUAAAACCAAUACUCUUAGUCUGUAAGAGAGAGCACUCCUGACAGAAAUUGGCCAGAAGCCCCUCUCAGGUUUAUUCUCCAAAAUAAACCUGACUUUAACUGUUGA